CAGUCGCCGCGGUAAAACGUAGGUGGCAAGCGUUAUCCGGAAUUAUUGGGCGUAAAGCGCGCGUAGGCGGUUUUUUAAGUCUGAUGUGAAAGCCCACGGCUCAACCGUGGAGGGUCAUUGGAAACUGGAAAACUUGAGUGCAGAAGAGGAAAGUGGAAUUCCAUGUGUAGCGGUGAAAUGCGCAGAGAUAUGGAGGAACACCAGUGGCGAAGGCGACUUUCUGGUCUGUAACUGACGCUGAUGUGCGAAAGCGUGGGGAUCAAACAGGAUUAGAUACCCCUGUAGUCCCUGUCUCUUAUAC
rnacentral:rRNA from 1 species